AACGAACGCUGGCGGCAUGCCUAACACAUGCAAGUCGAACGAGACCUUCGGGUCUAGUGGCGCACGGGUGCGUAACGCGUGGGAACCUGCCCUUAGGUUCGGAAUAACUCAGAGGAAUUUGAGCUAAUACCGGAUAAUGUCUUCGGACCAAAGAUUUAUCGCCUUUGGAUGGGCCCGCGUAGGAUUAGCUUGUUGGUGGGGUAAUGGCCUACCAAGGCGACGAUCCUUAGCUGGUCUGAGAGGAUGAUCAGCCACACUGGGACUGAGACACGGCCCAGACUCCUACGGGAAGCAGCAGUGGGGAAUAUUGGACAAUGGGCGAAAGCCUGAUCCAGCAAUGCCGCGUGAGUGAUGAAGGCCUUAGGGUUGUAAAGCUCUUUUACCAGGGAUGAUAAUGACAGUACCUGGAGAAUAAGCUCCGGCUAACUCCGUG
rnacentral:rRNA from 1 species